UCCAGUGCAUCAUGAACGGGGAGGAAUGUCCGGGGUGCAAAUAGAACAUGUGUCACAUUUCAGAACAAAUGAGGCGACGUUGCGGAGGUCCAGGCGGUUGGCCCGGUGGAGGUCCUGGAGGAGACGGUCCCGGCGGUGGAGGACGGCUUGGGGUUCCGGCGGUGGAGGUCCGAAGGCGGCUCGUGAUUAGACCAACCAGCUCCUCAUCCAUGGAAGGAUUGAAGGAGUCACUGGGGAUGAAGAUCACUGCUCAGGGGCUGACGACCCCCCCCCCCCCCCCCCACUCAUCUUUCCGGAGAAGGCGGUCAAACCUCCACCUCUUUGAAGACACCAAGCAGCUUGAUGACUGACUGGUUCUUUAUACUCAGGACCUCGUCCCGGAGCAGAGGACAGACCUAAGGCCUACAGCGCAGCAGACUAGAGACUCCAUGUGGA